rnacentral:sRNA from 2 species
GUCGGCUAGCACAGCCACUAAACUUAAAUGGAAGCUCUGGAAGGGUUCUGGAAGGGUAAUGGAAGGCUGACUGGAAGGAUGAUGGAAGGAUUAUGGAAGGGUCGUGGAAACACAAUGGACAGGGCGUGGCCAAUAAUAGCCAAUUAAAGACGUCUUCCAAAAGACUAAAUUGCACGACCGGGGUUCUGACGACAGCAACUGGUUGGAACUUGACGCAAUUCCGUAGUGGAGGCUGCACGUUCGAAACGAAUCUGGCAGGAUUGGCCUUCGUAUUAUUCUUGAUGUGCGGAGAUAGGGUGCUGACUCCGUAUUUUCCAGGAAGGGGAG